rnacentral:rRNA from 1 species
CAGUAGCCGCGGUAAUACGUAGGGUGCGAGCGUUAAUCGGAAUUACUGGGCGUAAAGCGUGCGCAUGCGGUGAUGUAAGACAGAUGUGAAAUCCCCGGGCUCAACCUGGGAACUGCAUUAGUGACUGCAUCGCUGGAGUGCGGCAGAGGGGGAUGGAAUUCCGCGUGUAGCAGUGAAAUGCGUAGAUAUGCGGAGGAACACCGAUGGCGAAGGCAAUCCCCUGGGCCUGCACUGACGCUCAUGCACGAAAGCGUGGGGAGCAAACAGGAUUAGAUACCCCUGUAGUCCCUGUCUCUUAUAC